rnacentral:lncRNA from 1 species
UGUGGACGAGAGUUUGAGUAUUGAUAAUCUUACUGGUACAAGAAGAAUUAUAAGAAGCGGUAGGGUCUUACCUUUACAAAUACUCAAGAUAAUGCUGAUGCCUUGGCGAAAGAUAAGGGUAAACAAGUAAUGGUGGAUAACCAAGAACCUGUGCAGAUUAAUGUUCCUCAGCAAAGUGAAGUUCCUAGUGCUUCCUCCUCCCAGGAUGUGGAAGAGUUGUUAAGGAUAAU